AGAGUUUGAUCCUGGCUCAGAUUGAACGCUGGCGGCAUGCCUUACACAUGCAAGUCGAACGGUAGCGGGCCUUCGGGUGCCGACGAGUGGCGAACGGGUGAGUAAUGUAUCGGAACGUACCUUUCAGUGGGGGAUAACGUAGCGAAAGUUACGCUAAUACCGCAUACUCUGUGAGCAGGAAAGCAGGGGAUCGCAAGACCUUGCGCUGAUUGAGCGGCCGAUAUCAGAUUAGCUAGUUGGUGGGGUAAAAGCUCACCAAGGCGACGAUCUGUAGCGGGUCUGAGAGGAUGAUCCGCCACACUGGAACUGAGACACGGUCCAGACUCCUACGGGAGGCAGCAGUGGGGAAUUUUGGACAAUGGGGGCAACCCUGAUCCAGCCAUGCCGCGUGAGUGAAGAAGGCCUUCGGGUUGUAAAGCUCUUUCGGCCGGGAAGAAAUCGCAUGGGUUAAUACCCUGUGCGGAUGACGGUACCGGCAUA
rnacentral:rRNA from 1 species